UUGACCUCAAAUCGAGUAGGACUACCCGCUGAACUUAAGCAUAUCAAUAAGCGGAGGAAAAGAAACUAACAAGGAUUCCCCUAGUAACGGCGAGUGAAGAGGGAAGAGCUCAAAUUUUAAAUCUGGCGUCUUUGGCGUCCGAAUUGUAAUCUAGAGAAGUGUCUUCCGUGACGGACCGUGCAUAAGUCUCCUGGAAUGGAGUGUCAUAGAGGGUGAGAAUCCCGUAUAUGGCACGGACUCCCGUUGCUCUGUGAUACACUCUCGACGAGUCGAGUUGUUUGGGAAUGCAGCUCUAAAUGGGUGGUAAAUGCCAUCUAAAGCUAANAUGGGCGAGAGACCGAUAGCGAACCAGUACCGUGAGGGAAAGAUGAAAAGCACUUUGGAAAGAGAGUGAAACAGUACGUGAAAUGGUUGAAAGGGAACGCU
rnacentral:rRNA from 1 species